rnacentral:lncRNA from 1 species
UGUUGAGUUAGCCGAGAGACGGAUUGCUAUUGAUAAAUGGCCAGAGUACUACGACACCAAAAGGGCAAGAUUCAUUGGCAAACAGGCACGGCUUUACCAGACUUGGUCCAUCGCAGGCUACCUCGUGGCCAAGCUCCUCUUGGCAAAUCCAUCUGCAGCAAAGUUCCUCACCAGUGAAGAGGAUUCUGAUUUGAGAAAUGCCUUCUCUUGCAUGAUCAGCGCCAACCCGAGAAGGACACGAGGUCGCAAGAAGACUCAACAACCGUUUAUUGUAUGAAAAGCUCACAAAUCUUUUUUUCAAUGUGAGCCAUUGACUAUGUCCUCCUCCACUGUUCUGUCCCUUCAAACAGAAUGAUACAGAAUUCUUGUGUAAAUAGUUUCUUUUUAUCAUAUGCUAAGUAUAGUCAGUGCUUUGAUUUUGUUGCGGUAGUCCAACAAAAUUGGAUACACAUCUAAUUUUUUUUUUAUUACCACUUGCGUUUCGUCCCAUCGAACUAAAUUCAAACUGACAAGGCCAUGUGUUUGGCCGAUGACAUUUGGCUGGCUCAUUUCUGUGAGAUUUGCCCGUGGUAGAUGCAUGCAUCUAAAUUGUUAAGUUAUUAUAUAGUUGUCUGACUUAUGUCAGAGGCUAUUCAUAAUGAGAGCCAAAUUUGUCAAUAUCUAUUCAAAACAAAACUUUCAAGUGGAUGAGUGUAGGAUUGGACCGGAGUAACUUAGAGUAAACAUGGAAGAGAUAAAGAGGAAAGAAUUAACUGCUUAUAGCCUUAGACAUCAUUAAUUCUAGUAGUUUUGGUUUAGAGACGGUUCUUAGUUUUUUUAAGAUUUUAACUAAGAAAAGUUAAAAACCAUCUCUUAAAUAAGAGAUAUAAGAGCUGUUUCUCAGGUGAAAAAUAUUAAAAAAAACAAACAAAAAUGUCAAAUCAUAAGUUAAGAAUCCAACUAAAAAACCGGAGGUAAUAAUGCUCUUAUAAUGUUACUUUGACUUAUCUUUUUUCUAGAGUAACAGAAAGGUGAAUAAAACAUAAAAGACAAAAGAAAGAUUUUAUUUCUCAGCGCAAAUGAGAGAAAAUAUUUGUUUACCUCUUUUAUCCUGAUUGGCUCUAUUUAAGUUGAAUUGGAAGUAAACAUUCUUACUCUAUUAUUUGUUUUUCUAAUUGUGCUAUCCAGGCCAGACUCUUUAUAUUACUGCACAAGAUAUUUAUAAGUACAGUUAAAUAUCAACAAAUAAAUGCGUGCAAAAUAUAUUAAUGAUCAAACAGGCCACUAUAAGAUAUGCAUUUAUUAUAAAUUUUGUCAAUUACAUAUCCCUUAUAUAUUAUUUGAGAACCAUUACAACUUCUUUUUGUAGCCACAUGUCAUCACUAGGAUGAUUCUUAGAAUCAUUAGAGAAAUAUGUUGGUCCAUCUAAUUAUAUAAUAAGUUUUUUUAUUAAACUAACAAUAAAUUCAUUAUUAAUGUACUUCAUUAUUUCCUUAAAUAAAAUUUACGAAAUUACCUAAUGUGGCUAAAGUAUAUAUGACAUUAAUGAUUUUGAAUAAUAAAGAUUUGAUAAAAAUUAGUGUAUCUUUUAUCAUAUUUGUUUAAUUUUAAACUAUUAAAUAAAUUAAACAACCACAAUAACCGUAUAAUAAAAAAAAUUAGAUUUUUUUGUAUAUGUUAUAUUUUGAAUUUUGAAAAGCGACUAUAAAUUACUAAAACUGUUUAAAGUCUUACAUUCAAAUGAUUACAAAAUUAUAUAAGUGAAAAGUAUAAUUUAAUUAAUUAUUAAGAUUGAUAUAUAUAUAUAUAUCGUUUUAAAUUAAACUAUAAACCAUAUAAAAUACAUAAAUCUUUUAGUUUCAAAAUUUACUUUGAACAACUUUUUGGUAAAAGUUUUGAACGAACAUUGACAACUUAUUUUUUUUUAAUUAUAAAUUAUUAAAACUAUUAAUCUCACAAUGAAAAUUUUGUUAUCAGUAAUUUAAAUUUUUCUCUAUAAAAGAUACAAAUGAUAAAAAAAAAAACUAUAUGAAGAUGGUUUCGGAACCAGAAGAAUGACCAGCAUUUGAAAGCUAUAUGGAAGACAUUAAGCUCUUAAAAAGAAGUUUCAUCAACUCAAACAUCGUUCAUGUACCACGGGUGGAAAACCUACGGGCGGAUAGCUUAGCACGCAGUGCUAGGAAACAACCGUCUUUCGUCGUUCACAUGGAUAUGGAAUUACCGAUUUGGUUUACAGAGUCAAGUUGAGUCUGUAAAUGUUUUUUGCUGUCAAAAAAAAAAAACUAUAUGAGUAGAAAUCAUCAUUUAAUAGACAUUAGUAUUAAAAAUAUACUAUGUAUGUUAGUAUCAUUUAAAUUUAAUUACAUAUCCUAUCAAAUAUUAAAAAAAAUUAGAUUAAUAAAAUUGAUUUAUAUGUUCACACUAAUUUAAUUAUAUAUUUAAUAGUUACUGACUUUUAAUUAUUCAAUAUAUAUUUAUUAUUUCAUAAUAUGUAAAAAUAUUUAAUACAUAAAAUAAUUUUUAUAUAUAAUGUUAAAUUCAUUAUGUUUUAAAAAUUAUUCAACUUCUAAACCGAUUUAUUCUCGACUUGCUUUAUUUAGAAGAUCACAAGUAAAUUACUUGAAAACCAGAUUUUGGCUUACCAAGAAACACAUUAGAUACAUUAAAUCAUUAAGGAGAGUUAUCAAGCAUCUUCUGAUGCAUCAGCAAACACAAAUCAUGCAAAUCAAUUAAAAGAAUCAUUUUUCAUAUUUGGAUCAUUGUUUACAUAUUUACAACUGACAUAUCUUCAUUUUUUUUUUGCUUAAAUUUGGUGCACCAUAUCUUCAUUAUUGCUGCAUCCUGGAGGCUUUCUCAUGAAUCAAGACAAUCCAAGACAUCUUAUGUUUAUGCUCAAGCUCUCAAGAUUCAAUAAAUAAUCAUCACACCAACUUUCUUUGUCUGGACUGAUUACACCACGAUCUCCUCCAACUACCAUAUUCAUUAAAUUUGAAUUAUUUGUUUCUUUGUUUAACUUUUAGAACGUUAGAAUAGCAAUAAGUUUGGAAUCUCUUGAUCAUCUUGUGAUAUCAAGUUUGGUGAAUUUCAAUUUUAUAUCAUAAUGUUAACUCUCAGACAGAGUUUUUAGGAAUUAUCUUUGGGUGAUUCCUUAGGAAUUCUCUUUCGAUCAUAGAAUAUAUUAAUUUAACGCUCUCUUUAAUUGAUUCUUUGUAAUGCUCUACUUGGAUGACUUUUGGGAGAAUUCUAACUUUACUUCGAAUUCGAGAUCAUUUUUCAAAUUUACCUUUUAAUGAUAACUAUUUUCAUAAUUAUCUUAAAUUUAUUAUAAAAAACAAAAUUAAUCUUACUAAAUCAUUUUUUUUGAAUGAAUUUUAAAUUUAUUCAAAAAAGUCUUCUUACAACUUGUGUGGACCUAGAGAUAUACUUAACCCUCAAACUUCAAACCAUAAAAUUCAAAAAACAAGCAAAUUUGCAUCAACUAUACUCCUCUUGUUUGGAACCAAUAUUGGAGAGUAUUCUCCAUACCUCUCCCGCCCUUCAUUCUAAUCAAACUAAGCUUGUUUGUUUCUGAUCCCUUUUUCAGUGAUCUUUUUCAGAAUGUCCAAUGGCAUUAGUCUCUCCCCAUGCUUCACUCUGUUUCUCUCUCGCCAAAUUGCAUAAGUAGCAGCCUGUAAUGCAUACCUCAAGCAAAAUAAACUCUUCUUAUCCAGUGUUCUACCCGAUGUCUUCUGCGCUAUCUCAGUCCAACCAUCCAUAUAAGAACUGCCAAGAAUCCCACCCACUAGAUACCUCCAUAACUGGCCAGAAUAGGAGCAUUUGAAAAAUAAAUGAUCUUGGGUUUCUGCUUCAGUAUGACAGAGCACACACACAGUGUCUACUCCUUGGCUCCAUUUGGCGAUUCUAUCCAUAGUAGAUAAUCUGUUCUUCAUUGCCAACCAGACUAUGAAAGCAAAUUUUGGAGUCGCCAUAGAAAACCAAACUCCUUUAGCCCACAUCUGCUUCUCAUUUACCUCUCGUAAUUCAUCCCAAGUCUCACGAGUUGAAAAGUUUGGUUUGUAACCCGUUUUACCUCUCCAUGUACUUAUGUCUUCACUUUCAUUACAGAUCAAACUUCUCACAGUGUCUAAACUCCUCUCCAACUCAUUCAGAACUUCUAACCGGUGCUUCCUUCUACGUCUGAAUCUCAAUGCAGCCUCUGCUAGCGUAGCUUCUUUCCUUAUUCCCAAACCAAUCAUCCCUCUAUCACCCAAAACCUCCGCUAUAAUACCCUUAUCAGACCACUUAUCGUACCAAAACGAGAUGUGUCUUCCAUUUCCAAUCUCCAUCUUAUAAAAUUUUUUAGCUACCUCUCUCAGCUUAAGCAUCUUCCUCCACAUCGAAGAACCCGUCUGACUGUCUGAGUAUGACCCUUAACUUCCCAAAAACUCCUCUUUUUUAAGAGAUUCUUGUGAAUCCAUUUUCCCCAUAGUGAGUCUCAUGUAAGCAUUCUCCAGAUAAGCUUGAGUCCAUAGAAAAGGUUUACCUCUUUCAGUGCUCUGAUCCCCAGCCCACCUUCACUUUUUGGUUUACAGAUUUCCUUCCAAGCCACUUUAGCACCUGAGGAUUUCAAAACGGGCCCUGUCCAUAGAAACGCAGCGCAGAUUUGUUCUAUGUCCUUUAUACAUUUGCUAGGUAUUCUAAAUACUGAAGCCCAAAAAUUGACAAUACUCAUCAGCACAGAGCUUAUAAGCUGCAGACGACCCGCAUAGGAGAGAUGCCUACUUGUCCAGUUACUUAUCUGGCUUCUGAUUCUCUCCACCAGUGGCAUAUAGUCCUGUCUUCUCAUGACUUGUGUCAUCAAUGGUAAGCCCAGAUAUCUAACCGGCAGCGAACCCUCAUCAAAAGGAAAGUUUGUUAAGAUUCUUCUUUUCUCCUCAGCUUCUACUCCCGCCAUAUACACCAUCGACUUUUCUAUACUUAUGCUCAAACCUGACCAUUGAGCAAACCCCUCAAAUACUGACAAAACUCCUUCAAUAGAAUCUUUUGUACCUUCAACAAAGACCAUUAGGUCAUCAGCAAAGCAAAGGUGGGUAAGAGAAAGAGACUGGCAUCUCGGGUGGUAAUUGAAUCUCUUUUCCUUAGCCGCUUUAUUGAUCUUGUGAGAUAGCACGUUCAUACACAAAACGAAGAGGUACAGAGACAGUGAACAACCCUGCCUUAGACCUCUCUUACUUUGGAAAUAGCCAGCAAGCUUGCCAUUUACCUGAACGGAGAAGGAAGGUGUAGUAAUGCACAACUUAAUCCAAUGAAUGAAUCGAGCAGGCACUCCUAUAGCUUCAAGACUCCGAAGAACAAAUUCCUAUUGCACUGAAUCAAACGCCUUUGAUAUAUCAAUCUUCAUCACACAACGAGGGGAAAUCACUUCUUUAUGAUAGUCUUUAACCAAUUCUGACGCUAACAGAACAUUCUCCAUCAAAAGCCUACCCUUAAUAAACGCAGAUUGAUUCUCAGUCACUACCCGAGGAAGGAUUCUCUUAAGCCUAUUUGCAAUGACUUUCGACACCACCUUAUAAAGUAUUUACAGCAUGCUAUCUUACUAAAUCAUUUAUAAAUGUUUAAAAAUUAUUUAUAGAAAUUUAUAAACUAAACCUCCCCUAAAUACUAAACUAUAAAAAAUAAUAAAUAAAAAAUAAAUUCAAAUGUUAUAGUAUUUUUGAUUGAGUUUAUUUUUGAAAAGUAGUAUCCAAUUUAGUAUAAUUUAAACAAGUUGUCAUGAUUUUUGCCUUAAAAACUAAUACAGAUCAUAAAGAAAAUAUAAUUUUGUAUUCUUCAGAUAUUUUCAAUCGAUAUAUUUAAUACUCAACUAUUAGUGCACAUAUUUAUGCUUUUAGGUUUCGAAUGGUGACCAUCGUCCCGCCCCACUCCGCAGUUAACAGUAAUAAAAAUCUUUACAUAUACUAUAUAUCUGUACAUUUUUAUAACUGUUAGGACCGCACCGCAGUUAAACUGCUUGUCCCGCACCGCUCAAACCGCAGUAACCAUUCGGAGCCUUAAACUAGCUGCUGACUCCCUCUGUAAUAUAAGAUUUAAUUAAUCAACGGCUAAAAAUGGACAGAAAUUGUCAGUUUCUUUCUUUCAUUAGCGGUUGAUUUUUUAUGUUCUAAGCAAUGUUUUUAAACCCGACCCGGACACUGAACCGGACGACUUACCGGGUCGCUGGGUCAUUGGGUCGACCGUGGGUGAACCGCGGGUUAAUAAAUGAAUUAAUUUUAUUAUAUAAUAAUAAAUUAGCUAUGAAAAUAAAUAUAUAAAAACUAAAGUUUAAUAGUUUCUAAAUGUUUUUUAAAACAUAAAAUAAUAGUUUGGAUAUAUAUAUACUUUAUGUUUAAAAAGUAUUUAAGAAAUACUUAACUUAAGUUUUUAUAUUUAUAUUUUUAUUAGACAUGAAAAAUAAAAUAAAAAAAGUUUAGACUAUUUAAAAUUUUCUGUAACAAAGUAAGAGUUAUGACAUCUAAAAAAAUUAAGAUAUAAAACGCACAAAUAUUUAAAUAUCUAAUUUAAAUAAUAAAUUAACUUCAAAUUCAAAAUAAACUAAAAGUAAAAGAUCAUUGUAAUAAAUUGUCAAUAAUAGAAAUAAAUUAACACCAAAUCACAUCAACUAAUUUAGUUUUUUUUUUAUCAUCGUCCACUUCAUUUUUUUAGGUGGCAUAGUGAAAAAUCUUCAUCAAAUCUAAAAAUUACAAAUAUAAAACUAAAAAAGGAAAACCUAACCUUUUUUUUUGUCAACAUCUAACUUUUUAAUUGAAAACUUACAAUAUAAAACAUAAUCUAAAAACUAAAAAAGAGUAAAAGUUGUUUAUUGGUUCAACCGGUAUCGGGUUUCGGGGUUUAAUGGGUUUUUGCGGGUUUUUACGGUUUUUUUGCGGAUUUUUAAAUAUUGGGUUUUUCAUAAAACCCAAACCGGAUUUUUUCUGGGUCACCGGGUUUACCGGUUCAACCGCGGGUCUGGGUCGGGUUUCAAAACACUGAAUAGAGCUAAAGAAAUAGAUGUGCUGAAGAUUUUAAGUCAUAUAACUUUGUUGUAAUUUGAAAUUAAAUUAAAAACUAUAAGGCGUUGUGAGUGUAAGCGGUAAGGUAAAAUGGAUAAGGCCAGUCUGGGUGGAAGUGCAAAUUUAUUAACUUGAAAUGUCUGAGCGGUGCAAAUUUAGAAAAUUUAAAGCAACACAACAUAAUCUAUGAAAGACUUGAAGUGCUAUGAAUUCGUUAAGCUUGGGAAAAAAAUAAAAAACUAAUGCAACGGACAUGUCCACAUGUCUUGCAACUUCAGCUCCCUUUGUUCUUCUAAAUACUUAUUGUGUUGUUUCUUUCCAGAGGACUCAGCUUCCUUCUCUUGUUAUCAUCGCUUCUGUUCCUAUAAAGACAAUGCUUUAAUUAGAUAACAACUUGCUUUUGAAAUCGACGAUAUCAGACGAACAAAAGAUCAUAGAAUGAGAGAACCACACAAAAAUCAAUUUCUAGAAUGAGAGUUCAGAAGCCUGAAGUUUUUUAAAAGUGACUCUUGGCUACCGAAAAAGUUUUGCAGAGAAGGUGAAAACUAGAAACAUCAAUCAAUUGAGUGGACUCUUGGAAAAGAAAACACUUCAGAAGACGUUUUACAGAGAGAAAACAGAAUCGAUUAAGCUGAAUAAAUUUGAAGUUGUUCAGAAUGUUAAUGUGUUGAUCAAAGGAAGCUACUCUAAUUUAAAACCAUAUACACACCACCAUGAUGGAUUUAAAAAUGAAGGAAACUACCCAGCAUUCUUCUGUUCCUAUUAACCAACUAAGGAUCAUCAUUCUUAGGAAAAUGCCUUGGUGUAGGCUCAGGAAAUAACAUAGCUUCAUAACUCUGAUAAUAGCAUGGCGACUAAUAGUAUUGAGGCAAACGAAAUCUCCAGUAAGUAAAGAGAAGUUCUUUGUAAAAAAAAUGUAAGUGGAUAUUGAUUACCUUCUUGGUCCUUUGUUCAAGCAUGCCUUUGAGACCAACUUCCACGAUGCUGACCAUCUAGCUUCUUGUCACUUUGAUCUUCACCUUCAACGUACCUGAGUCUCCUAAUAAUAAGUUAAGAAAAAAACAUUUCGUAUGAUUUCUUACUGAAGGUGUAUGACUUUCUGAAGAGGAACCAUGUUAGUCUUAGGGUACCUUAACAAUGGCGGAAGAAAUCCCCAUUUAGCAUGACGCUAAUCUUUUGCGUCAUUCCUCUCCACAAUCUGAUUACAUACAAAACCGCCUUCAAAAGGAGAAUUGGAACGGAGAUUUAAACUGAGAGUAACGAAGCCAUAAAUCUGGCUCUUAUGCGUUACAGGGGAAGCUAGGAGGAUAGUACAUAUUAAUUGGAGCCGAAGACGUUACGGUGAGCUUGACGGUGUGCUUACGGCUGCAACUCUGAAAAUAUCUAAGGGCAUGAGACAACUAAACUUAAUCUGUCUGGGCCUCUAAUCUCUAAAGCCCACCUAAACGCAAAGAACCAGCAAUCUCGGGAUUUUGUUUUGGGAUGCCACGUGGAGCAAUUUGCACACUUUUCUAUUUAUGAUGUCCUUUUAUUAGUAGAGAUCGGGCCAUUCAGAUUAACAUUUGGGCUAAAAAAAAAAACGAAGCCCAACUCUAUCAAAACCGUGUUGACGUGUUAAAAAGAACUCUUCUGAUUGGACAAUUUUCAUGUCCUACGUGGACAGUCUAAUUGAUGAUUAUAUUCCCUUUUUAUUACUUGUUUGAUUUUCUGUUUCAUAAUAAGUAUUACUUUACGUAUAUUUUUUAUUUUAAAAUCAUUCUACAAUUACAAUAUAAUUUUGUAUCUUAAAUUCAUUUUUACCUUUUUGGAUAACCAAUAAGCUUUUAUUUAUUUAAACUAUUUUCAUUUAAUUAAUCAUAUAUUAAAUAAUAACAUAUUAGUCUAUUAUACAAUUUUUUUAGUCUCCGUAAAAAAUGUCAAAAUCACACUUAAUAUGAAACAGAGAAAAUAUAAUUAAGUUUAAAUAGUUAUUAAAAAUUUGACCACUAAUAAAGUUACAUCUGUCUACAAAGUAUCUAAUCAAGUUUUUAGAGCAUCAUUAUGGCAUCUCUAACCCAAGUGCAUAAUUUACUGUAAAAUAGUGUGAAAAAUUCUAUCAUCAACAAACAAAAAAUCAUUACUCUAUAAAUGGAGUAAUUCGUUUUUUUUUUGUUAAUGACUGUAUUUUCUACUUCAUUUUACCGUAAAUUAUGCAGUUGGGUUGGAGAUGCUCUUAGUAGGAAAGUAUCUACCAAAGAGGAGUACUUGGCGUAUUAAUUAUGCUGAUGACCCUAUUUUCACGUUGAGGUGGAUUCUACCAACCGUUAGAAGUGAUCUACUCCUCCUUGAAAAUCAGGUUCCAUUUUUUGUUUUUCAAGAUAUCCUUAAGACGUCAAGGUUAUUUCCUUCAUCUAACCUAAACGAGAUGAUCUUUGCAUUCUUUAGCUACUCAAUAAGAAGGCCAAAAGAAUUUUGGGAAGAAAGAAAGAAUCUUGAUGCAAGCCAUCUUUUAGAUCUCAUCCGCAAAACUUUUAUACCUAAUCAAACGCAGCAAACAGAAGAAGAAAUAUACAACAAUAUAUUUUGUUGUUCAAGUGAAAACACAUGUUUCAGUAUAUUGAGUCGUCAUACCAAAAAGAAUGUUCAAGCGGAGAUACCAAGUCUGAUUGGCUCAGCUAAAAAACUUCAGCUCCGAGGACUACAAUUUAAGCAAAAAGGAAAAUUUGAGACACCUCUUGACAUAACUUUAAAGAGCGGUGUUCUUGAAAUACCAAAACUAACAUUUGAUGACUUUUUCACCUCUCUUUUGAUCAACUGUGUGGCCUUUGAGCAGUUUAGUAUGAGAUGCUCAACCGAAAUGACAAGCUAUGUUACUUUCAUGGGAUGCCUCAUAAACACUGAAGAGGAUGCAACGUUCUUAAGCGAGAAAGGGAUCAUAGAGAACUACUUUGGGACUGGAGAACAAGUAUCUUUGUUCUUCAAGAACACUGGCAAAAACGUUGCAUUUUCCAUAUCAAAGAGUUUUUUGUCAAAUGUGUUCGAGGGGGUGAACGAGCACACUUCAUAAGGAUGCCACGUACAAUGGGCAGGAUUCAAGUACACAUAUUUCAAAAGUCCGUGGGCAUGUCUAUCAUCUUGUGCUGCUUUGAUACUUCUUGCGCUUACCAUGUUCCAAGCUUUCUUCACAGCCUAUCCUUAUUUUCGUCCUCCCAAGUAAAAAGAGGACUUAAGGGAUUAUAUGGCUAGCUCUCGCUAGUGUCGCAGCUUGGGCUUCUUGUCCAAAAACUUACAUUUACAUUUUUCUUGUCGCUGUUUUCUAUUACCAACUAUGUAAUAAUGCAAACUUGAUUUCACUUCUUGACGUAACUUCUGUGGGAUCGCAACAUCAUACCCAAAAAACUUAACAUAUUUUUGUUCACAGUGCCAUUCCUCAUAUGUUUUUUUCCAUAAUUUCACUUUCACCAUUAUCACCAAUUAAGUUUUAUGAAAUCGAAUGUCGAGAUAAUAGGGUUUAUAUAUUAAUGCGAUAUAAUCGAAAAUUCUGGUGAGUUAGAAGAAUUCAAAAUUUCUUAUUAAACGUUCCAUCGGAUUUUAAUGAUUUAAGGAACAAUAAUCUGGAUUUUCUAUAAAAUUGGAGUGAAAGAGAAAGGAUAAUAAGGUGCGGAGAAAGAUAUAUAUACAAAUGGUGAAAUAAUAACUUUUAGUCAUUUGCAAUAUACUUUCAGUUUACAUAUGAUACGAAAUUACCAUCUGCUUUGGACUUAAUUAUUUGGCUCCAGCCUAUUGAAUAUGAAAACAGAGCAUUUUUCAGUAUAUUGUAUUUUGUAAAACAAAUUUGCAUCAUGCUUCGUGAAUUUUGUUAGACUAAUUGACUGGAUAUGAUAAUUGAUCCGGUGACAUAAUUGUAGUUUAUUUAUAAAAGUUGUCAUCACUUGCAAAGAAGAAAAGUCUUGGGUGAAAAGAUACUUUUGUUCCUUUGCCGACCUAAUGUGGAGACUUGUCAACAUUUUGCAAGUGUAAACUUCUCACCUCCUUCGUAAGGAUGUCUUCGUUUAAGUUUCUAAAAAAUAUUACAAAAAUUCGACGAAGGCUAAAUCAAGAAAAUAAAAUAUAUUUGAAGUCUUCCACCUAACCAGAAGACGAUCUAAGGUGGGUUUGAACUUUAAAGAUUUAGAUUAAUGGAUCCACAGACACAACAGAACGCCGCAGAAAACAGUCAUGAUCCCAUCCCGACAUCAGUCGUAGUAGACAUACAUAGCUUAACUUCAGAAGACACUGAUCCUAAGCUUCUGAGAGAAUCAGCUGGUUCAGAGUCAUGUUGCAUCUUGAGAAUCCCACACAGCCUCGCGCGGAUCAACCUCAAAGCAUACGAGCCCAAGAUUGUCUCCAUCGGUCCUUACCAACACGGAAAGGAACAUCUCAAAAUGGCCCAGCAGCAUAAACGCAGGUUCUUGAAGUUCUUGGUGGCUAAAAUGCAAGAAAAUGGAACUGAUCCUCAAGAAUUAGUCAAUGCUGUAUCCACUUUGGUAGGAGAUAUAAGAGGUUCUUACUCAGAGGAUCUUGGUUUGGUAUCUGAAGAGUUGGUUGAGAUGAUGGUUCUUGAUGGUUGCUUUAUCCUCACGUUGUUCUUAAUAGUUUCUGGCAAAGUUGUUUACACUAAUCUUGAUGAUCCCAUUUUCAGAAUGCCAUGGAUCUUGCCGUCCAUUCGAGCCGAUCUUCUCCUUCUAGAGAACCAGGUUCCUCAUGUUCUUCUUCAAGCGCUUUUCGAAACAUCGAAUUUAGUUACUUCUAGCUGUUUAAACGAGCUAGCGUUUGAGUUCUUCGACUACUCAUUACAAAAACCAGAAACGUUUUGGGAAAAGCAUUAUAGUCUCGAAGCUAAACAUCUUCUUGACUUGAUACGCAAGACAUUUGUCCCUGUUACUUGUCAAAGAAGCAUCAAAGAAGCUAAUGGUUUUCUUGGAUUCGUUUUAUCAGCCAAGAAGCUUCACUUUAGAGGAAUCAAAUUCAAACCAAGGAUGAACACAGAUUCAAUCUUAGACAUAAGGUUUAGUAACGGUGUGCUUCAUAUUCCUCCAGUAGUCAUGGAUGAUUUCACCGCCACGGUGUUCUUAAACUGUGUAGUCUUUGAGCAGUUAUAUGCAGAUUCAUCAAACCACAUAACGAGCUACGUAGCGUUCAUGGCUUGUCUUAUAAACGAAGAGAGUGAUGCAGCGUUUCUUAGCGAGAGAAGGAUUCUUGAGAACUAUUUUGGAACAGAGGAAGAAGUGUCUAGGUUUUAUAAAAGCAUUGGCAAAGAUGUUGCUUUGGACUUAGAGAGGAGUUACUUAGCGAAGGUGUUUGAAGGGGUUAAUGAGUAUAGUUCCAAAGGGUUCCAUGUUCAUUGUGCAGAGUUUGUUCACACGCAUUUUGAUAGUCCAUGGACAUUUGCAUCAUCGUUUGCAGCUUUGUUGCUUCUUAUGUUUGCGGCUUUACAGGUUUUCUUUGCAGCUUAUAGUUAUUUCAAACCUCCAAAAGAUAAGUGAGAGGUAAUUGUAAUUUACUUGUUAUGACUCUUUUGAGUCUAAUAAAUCCUUUGUUGUUUUCUUUAAUAUUUUUAUCUUAAUAGAGAGAUGGUUGCAUUGGUAACAUACGAACAUGUAAUUAAAUACACAACAGUUAUCUCUCAAACACUUUUUCUUCAUUUUGCCGUGGCUUUUGCGACUUCACGAAAAUCAAAGGUCUUCACUUUGUUGAAAUCAUUAGUCACUGGUGAAGAAGAGACACCUACAUAAAAACCUUCAGACUCGUACUCUUCCAUGUUACUGCUACCUACACGUGAGCUACAUUCUAUAAGGCGGUACACAGGUUCCUUGCAUGUCUCUGGUUUUUUCUUCUCCACGCUGUUAUUUGCAUCUUUUUCUCCAACCUUUGUCAAACCUUCUGCUUUCAGGGGUUUAAUGUCUUCUUUCUUGAUGUGUUUCUUCAUGAAACAUAUGACUUUGAAACAAUAAAGACAUCCUAUAGACAUUAUCUUUAUGAAGAGUGAAGUGGUAGAUGAAUGAAAGUUGAAACUUUUGUUUCAAACAAUAUGCUUGCGUGCAUUGAAGAUAUUUAGAGAGGAAGAGACGUGUUUCUUUUUGUUUGCUGAUUUUGAUUAAGCGUUUUUCUUGACUUCUUGAGAGCUACCUUAAGUUGACUCCACGCAGCUUCCACUUACUCCACCAAUCACUUGCUAGGAAAUUGCCCCAGUAAAAAUGAAAAAUAAACUCAUAGCAUACAAGCGCAGGCAAAGGUAAUUAAAUGGGAUGUGAAGCAGACAGAGCUACAGUUAUUUCCAACCUUCAAAAGGAAAGUGAGAGAUGCUUGUAAUUUACUUAUUCUGAUUCUUGUGAGUCUAAAUUUUUUCUUCUUUUUGCUGUUUUCUUAAAAAGAUUUACCGCUACGUUCUGCUUUCAGGGCUUUGUCUUUUUUAUUGCUCUGCUUUUUCCUGAAACAUAUGAGUUUGAAACAACUAAGGGUAUCUCCAACCUCUCUCCAUUUUUUCUCCAAAAUGGAGUAAAUGUGAAAAUAGAGUAAGGAUUACUCCAACCCAACUCCAAAUCUCACUCCAUAAUAGAGUUUACUCCAUAAAUGAAGUAAUCUUUUUUUUUGUUUGAGUAAAAAAUGAAAUAGGGUUAGAGUAUUUUUUUACUCAAUUUUUACUUUUACUCUAUUUUAGAAAAAAAAAUGGAGUAUUACAUUGGAGAUGCUCUAAAACUACCUCUUAUAGACAUUUUUAUGAGUGAAGUGGUAGAUGAGUGCUAGCUAUCAAGGGUGUAAAUAAGGAGAGUGCAAUUGGCAUAAAAGUUAGAAAACAGUUUAAUGGCAUCUUCAAUCAUACUCUAUUUUUUAUUCUAAACAUCAUUUUAGAGUAAAAUAUGUUUAACGUUAAAAUAGAGUAAUGGCUAGGAUUACUCUAUUUAUGGAGUAAUUCUACAUAUUAGAGCAUCUCCAAUGUACAACUCCAUUUUUCCUUCAAAAUGAAAUAUGAAGUAAAAAUACUUCAAUCCUACUUCAUUUUCUACUCUAUAAUGGAGUCAUAAACAAAAAAAUAUGGAGUAAAUCUCAUUAUAGAAUGUGAAGUGUAAUAGGGUUGGAGUACUAUUUACUUCAUACUUUCUUUUACUCUAUUUUGGAAGAAUAAAUUGUGUUGAGUUGGAUUGAAAUUUUUUUAUUUAUAGAAUGGUCCUUUGAACUUUUUUUAUUUCAUACUUAAAUAAUAUUCAAAAAAAAUAAUAUAAUUUUUCAUAAGAGAUUAUCUAAUAAUUUUAAAUAAAAGUUGCAUAAACUAAUAAAAAUACUAAAACUAAACAUUAAAAUAUAAAAUAAAAAUAUAACAUAAAAUAAGUAAUUUAAUAAUCUGGUAUACCAUUUUUGGAAUUGCCAUAAUCGGUGAAGCAUUGCCCAAACAAAAAAAAAUGUUUGAUUUUAAAAUUUUCUUGCCCAGUUUAAGAAAAUCAUGGAUAAAGAAACUCAUUAUUCAUUCUGAAAUGCACUAGUUGAACAUUUGCGAGAGAAAAAUAUUCUAAUACUCAGUUAUUGAAGCAAAAUAUUUAUCUUAUGUAUAUUUUUAUGAUUUAUUGUAUUUUUAAUAAUAAAUAUUUAAUUUAAAUAAAUUACAUGUUGUGGAUGUUUAAUAAACAUAAGAUAUUUAGGGUUAAUUGGUAAGUUUUUGUAAAUAUAAAGUGUUAGUAAUAAUUAUUAAUUAACCAAAAAUAAUUUUUCUUAAAAUAUUCAUUUUUGGAGUGAAAAAUAAAGUAAUAUAUUGGAAUAAAAUCCUACUCUUUUUAGUGUUAUUGAGUAAAAUAUAGAGUAAUCGUUGGAGAUGCUCUAAAUCAACAACAUCGUCUUCUUCUUCACCAGCCUAAACUACUCACUACCAACAAAUUUCAAGAUGAUGUCCCCAAGUAAACUUAUCAGUGCUAAUGAUACACCAUAAUAAAACCAAAAGGGUAGAGGACAACUAAGGUCCACUUUUUCAUACCUAGCCCUGCACAUUCAUAGCACAAGCAGAACGUACCAAUAUGCUUACCACUCCUAGUAACAUCCAUAUGUAAGUUUAGCAUUUACGGCUCCAGCCACUUGUUUAUUUAGGCUUCAAAUGGUAACAGCAGAUUGAGCGGCACGAGACAAACGGUAUAAAUGCGGUGCGAUUCUAACAGUUAUAAAUGUAUAAAUAUAUGAUAUAUAUAUAAAGAUUUUUGUUACUGUUAAUUUAAUUGUGAUGUGGUGCGGGGCAGAUUAAAACAUUUGAAACCUUAGGUUCCAAAUAGUAACAACAGAUUGAGCGGUGCGGGACAAGUGGUACAAUUGCGGUGUGGUAACAGUUAUAAAAAUAUAUAGAUAUAUGAUAUACAUAAAGAUUUUUGUUACUAGUUUGUGCGGGGAGGAUUAAACAUUCGAAGCCUUAAGGUCUAACUUUUUCAUGCCUAAUCCUGCACAUUCAUAGCACAAGCAGAACAUACCAAUAUGCUUACCACUCCUGCUAACAUCCAUACGGUGUGCAGCGAAACAUUCAAGGAGUACAGCAGUUGGAUUUAACUGUGAUGAGGAUGGUUCGCGUCUUUGCUCCUUACAGUUGUCUCGAACUUGUGGAGUGCAGGUUGGUUACUACGGGUCAGGGUGUUUGGACACCGUGUGCCAAACAGAUUGCUAUAUCAUUUACCAUCGUCGAGCUACGGACAUCCAUGGUUACUGUAAUAGUGUCAACUGCAUGUGUGAAUUUAGAGCACCAUUAAUGCAGUUUCUAACGUGGGUUUUUAAAGAAAAUGGGGUAUUUAAUUAAAUCAAAACAAAAAGAAAUUAGAGUAGUCGAUCCUUAAUUGGGUGUUUUUGUAACCGAUCGUAUAUGGGUUUCUGUAAACACGUGUCGGCAUAUGUGAUUUUUCCUUUUUUUUUUCUUUUUCUCUUCCUUUUCUUUUCUUUCCUUUCUCAUCUCUUCUCUUUGGUUUUCUCGUGAUCUCCGUCGGGAAGCUGAUUGAAUUUCUCAACGAAAGUAUCACCUCCGUUCAAUCGGCGUAUCCUCCGGUCAAUCGCCGUCAGGUCCAUCUGAUGCAAACUAAUUGACAUGUUUGAUUUUAGUAAAGUCUCUAUAUUUUGUUGUUUGUUCACGUAUAGUGAUCCCUGCCUUGCUCAUGAUUGGUUGAUAUGAAACAGUUUGAUCGUUUUGAUGCAUUUUGAUGAUAUGAGCUAGUUAGUUGCUUCUUCUAGUAUCACUGAUGUUCUGUUUUAUCUAGCUUGAUCGACUCAUUUGCAUGGGUUUAAUUUUUAAAUGUGAACUGUUCUGUUCCAUAAAAAACUCAAGUCUUUAAUUAUGAUGUGUCGUGUUGGCUUUGUAAGCUUGGUUUUGUUGUUGUUAGCAUACACAUUCUGCUUUGGGUUGUGUGUGUUGCGAUUGACACAUAGCUUUUCUUUGGGAGCAGCAUUCAGUUCUCCGACGUCUAGCAAGUAUAGCUUUGAGUUCUCAGGUGGUGGUGGAGGAGGGAAAGGAAGAAGAUUCGUGGAGGUUUUGGUUGGGUUCGUAGUCGAGAGGUACUUUACUGUCUCUUCUUUUCUGAUGCAUUUUUGGUUCUUUGGCAUUGGAUCAUCUUGAGUGGCUUGGUGCUAUGUUUUGUAGAAACUAGUGUUUGGAUUAGUCGUCAGGAAAUUUCAGUUCUGAUAUUGAGGCAGUUUGUGUGUAGUUUUUUACUAAUCCUGAGGCUGAGAUUGAUCAAUGGAUAGAGCUUUGAAACUUGUAACUUUUUUUUUUGUUUCCACCACUCAUGUGUUUUUGUGGGGUUUUUUUAUAAGAAUUCUUAAUUAAGAGACUAGCAUUGGAGCACUAAACUAAUUGUUUCAAAAAUGUUAUAUUUUAAUAUGUUUUAUUUUAUAAAUAAUUUUAUGUAACAAAAAAAGUUUAUAAUUUUUUUUAAGAACCUUUAAUUAAGAAACUACCAUUGGAAGUACAAAAUCGAACAGUUUCUUAACUAGAUUUCUUAACUCCACCGAAGUACACUUAUAUAUUUAAAUAUUCAUUAAGAAACACUAUAGAGUUUCUAUGGAUAAAGAUGCUCUAACACAACAGCAAGUAAGGAUGUGUCAACAAAUAUUUAAAUACUGUAUUUAAAAAAAAAGAAGAAGAAAUAAACCAAAUAUGAAAAAGUGAAUAGAGUUAAGACACGUCAUCGUUUCGCACGUGUUAACUCGUGGUUGAUGGAGAUAAUUGUUCGUGUUAACACGUGUGACCUAAGCAGAUUUGUUGUUCUUCUCCAUCUCUCGAGGAUUGGAGUUUUCAUCUCUUUCCCGUCAAAAUUUUCCUCUGAUUCUCCGGAAGCUGAAUCUGAAACACCCAAGGUAAGCUAGUAUCUUUAUCUCUUCUUUACGAACAUGUAAAUGAAUCGGAUUCGUUGAUGGAGCAAUGAAAUUGAUUUCAUUUAGAAAGGUUCUCUGUGAUUACGGAGUUUCUGAUUCAUUUCGUUAUGCUCGCAUGUUUUGUUUAAUGAUUUAAUUACAUGAUUUUGAUUCGAGCUAUUACCGAAUUAAGAUUCGAGUUAAGGCUUUGGUAAUGAAUGAAUGAAUGUUUCAGCUAAAGUUUGCUCAUUUCUGAGUUUUGGUAUAAUCCUAUUAUUAUGAUGCACUUAGAUCUUUUGAAAAUGAUGUUUGAUUAAUUGGGUAUUAAGAGAGUUUCAGUUUUGAAGAUGCUCAUGUUAACUCCCCUUGUAAAGUUUGUUCCUUUGAAGAUGCUCAUGUUAUCUCUCUCGUUGUAAAGCUUGUUCUUUUCUGCUGGAUUAUCAUGUUGGUCUGAUUCAGUUUUCUUUUGCAGGUAUCAAUCACUUCUUCUAGCCACCUCUCUGAGUAUAACAGGGUGGAUCAAAAUGGCUGCUUCAGAAACAGUUCUACGUCUUCCAUUGGGAUCUUUAUUUUCAUCUUGUCAUCUGCCUUCUUUCUCCCUUAACUCCUCUCCCCUCCUCUCGUUCAAACCCUCCUCUAGUAGAAAGCGAAGGGGCUUAAGGUGUACCAACACUUUGGCGAGAGGAGACACGUUUCAGAGCCCUGACUGUGUUUUCAAGGGUAAGAAGUUGCAGUCCACGAGAUGCAGAUGCCAAAGAAACGACGUUGAGGAGGACAUCAGAUCCAACUUACUUCCUUCUGACGGGUUGAAAAGCGACUUGGAUGAAAUGCCUCUACCUGUUAAUGGAAAUCUUUCGUCCAAUGGUAGUACUCAAUCAGCUGGAACGAACUCUAUCGAGGACGAAGCUUGGGAUCUCUUGAGGCAGUCCAUUGUUUACUACUGUGGUAGUCCUAUUGGAACUAUCGCUGCUAAUGACCCCAACUCUACAAGCGUGCUGAACUAUGAUCAGGUCUUCAUUCGUGAUUUCAUUCCCUCUGGGAUUGCCUUUCUUCUUAAAGGAGAGUAUGACAUUGUCCGCAACUUCAUCCUUUACACCCUCCAAUUACAGGUGACAGAAUCUCUCUCUUGUUAUAAAAGAUUGUCAUGUUGAAGCUAUUUGGUUUUGUUAUGAGUUGAUGAUGUAAUGCUUAUUGAUGACCAGAGUUGGGAGAAAACCAUGGAUUGUCAUAGUCCUGGUCAAGGAUUGAUGCCUGCUAGCUUCAAGGUGAAAACGGUUCCUCUUGAUGGUGAUGAUUCAAUGACAGAGGAAGUCUUAGAUCCUGAUUUUGGGGAAGCGGCAAUUGGACGUGUUGCUCCCGUUGAUUCUGGUAAGAGAAGCUAAGUUCUAAUCUUUCAACCAUGUGGAAAAGGAUAAUACAGAUUUGUUCUGGUAUCAUGUUAACUUGAUUAUCUUUUUUUCAUUUGUUUUUGGAACUCCAGGGCUGUGGUGGAUUAUAUUACUGAGAGCAUACGGAAAAUGCACAGGCGAUGUGUCCGUGCAGGAGAGAGUUGAUGUGCAGACCGGAAUCAAGAUGAUCUUAAAGCUUUGUCUCGCUGAUGGUUUCGAUAUGUUCCCUACUUUACUAGUAACUGAUGGGUCCUGCAUGAUAGACCGUCGAAUGGGUAUCCAUGGUCACCCCCUGGAGAUUCAGGUGUGUUACACUGUUAACUUCAAUUCGAAUCUGCCAGCCAUUUGAUUUUAACUUUACACUUUCAGGCACUGUUUUACUCAGCUUUGGUAUGUGCACGUGAGAUGCUUACACCAGAGGAUGGAUCAACUGAUCUAAUCCGAGCCCUCAACAACCGCCUUGUUGCGUUAUCUUUCCAUAUCAGGGAAUACUAUUGGCUGGACAUGAAAAAGAUAAACGAGAUUUACCGGUACCAGACCGAGGAGUACUCUUUCGACGCGGUUAAUAAGUUCAACAUCUAUCCAGAUCAGAUCCCUUCGUGGUUAGUGGACUUUAUGCCCAACAGAGGAGGUUAUUUGAUUGGAAACCUUCAGCCAGCUCACAUGGAUUUCAGAUUCUUUUCCUUGGGGAACCUUUGGUCCAUUGUGAGCAGCUUGGCUACAAAUGAUCAGUCGCAUGCGAUUCUUGAUUUCGUGGAAGCGAAAUGGGCAGAACUUGUGGCAGACAUGCCGUUUAAGAUCUGUUACCCUGCAAUGGAAGGUGAAGAAUGGAGAAUUAUAACCGGAAGUGAUCCAAAGAACACGUAAAAGCUAUCUCUUCCAUAUGAUUUUCAAUAACAUGUUUUUAUAUUUUUCAUGUUGAGCAUAUUUGGUUUUGGUUGCAGUCCUUGGUCUUAUCACAAUGGAGGUUCCUGGCCAACUUUGUUAUGGCAGGUUUGUUCAGACUUUUCUCUUUUCCCUUUUAGAUUCCGAGCUUAUCAUUUUGAGCUCAUCAAUGUGAACUUCCGAAGCUAUAUAGCGUUGGUUUUGAAAUCUUGGUCCCUUGUUGGUGUUUUAUCAGCUGACAGUAGCAAGCAUCAAAAUGGGUAGACCAGAGAUUGCAGAGAAGGCUGUUGAGUUAGCCGAGAGACGGAUUGCUAUUGAUAAAUGGCCAGAGUACUACGACACCAAAAGGGCAAGAUUCAUUGGCAAACAGGCACGGCUUUACCAGACUUGGUCCAUCGCAGGCUACCUCGUGGCCAAGCUCCUCUUGGCAAAUCCAUCUGCAGCAAAGUUUCUCACCAGUGAAGAGGAUUCUGAUUUGAGAAAUGCCUUCUCUUGCAUGAUCAGCGCCAACCCGAG